CCGAGUCAGAGCUAAUUGGACAAGCCGGCCGUCAAGAAGGCGCGUCACGCAGCAACCGGGCCGGGCGGGAUGGAACCCGCGCCUGGGCUGCCGGGAAAGAUCCCUUGGGGCUUCCUGGUAAUGAAUGACCCGGGAGUAACACCGCUACAACCUGCGGGAAAAGGAGAGUCGUUUACCCGAUCCUGAGAUCUGCAGGAUUGAAAUGAAAUGUUUUGAGGUCUUCAAGCUGACUCAUCAAAAUAAUCCUGGAGCA